rnacentral:rRNA from 1 species
AGAGUUUGAUCAUGGCUCAGAUUGAACGCUGGCGGCAGGCCUAACACAUGCAAGUCGAGCGGAUGAGAGGAGCUUGCUCCUCGAUUCAGCGGCGGACGGGUGAGUAAUGCCUAGGAAUCUGCCUAGUAGUGGGGGACAACGUUUCGAAAGGAACGCUAAUACCGCAUACGUCCUACGGGAGAAAGUGGGGGAUCUUCGGACCUCAUGCUAUUAGAUGAGCCUAGGUCGGAUUAGCUAGUUGGUAGGGUAAAGGCCUACCAAGGCGACGAUCCGUAACUGGUCUGAGAGGAUGAUCAGUCACACUGGAACUGAGACACGGUCCAGACUCCUACGGGAGGCAGCAGUGGGGAAUAUUGGACAAUGGGCGAAAGCCUGAUCCAGCCAUGCCGCGUGCGUGAAGAAGGCCCUCGGGUCGUAAAGCACUUUAAGUUGGGAGGAAGGGCUUACAGUGAAUACCUGUGAGUUUUGACGUUACCGACAGAAUAAGCACCGGCUAACUU